GGAGGGCCUCAUGGAUAUCUGAUCAAACUCAGAAGAGAAGUGAUGAAUGUCUCUGAUAAUCCCCUUGACUUGAGCCGCAGCUGUAGCACCUUGGAUAGCUCUGAUGAUUAACAAAGAAUCCCCUUCCACUAUGAGAUGCCGAGAGCCUUUUAAUUUAGCUAACAGGAUAGCCUCUCCACAGGCAAGAACUUCAAGGGUAAGGGGAUCUGAAAUUGCAGAAAAUUUCCUACAGGACCAACCCAAGGGAUUCACUCUGAAGUCACCAGCUAUUGCUGCUACUGAUCCCUCUUUCCUCUUUUUCAUCAAAAUUUACGUUAACCCAUGCCAGAGGGGGUGGAGACCAGUGAUCAUGCCAUUGAUGGGCAGAAACACUCAGGCUGAGAAGAAAAGGUUCUAGUAGCUUGAAUA
rnacentral:misc_RNA from 1 species